rnacentral:rRNA from 1 species
GAUGAACGCUGGCGGCGUGCCUAAUACAUGCAAGUCGAGCGAACAGACGAGGAGCUUGCUCCUUUGACGUUAGCGGCGGACGGGUGAGUAACACGUAGGUAACCUACCUAUAAGACUGGGAUAACUUCGGGAAACCCGAGCUAAUACCGGAUAAUAUUUCGAACCGCAUGGUUCGAUAGUGAAAGAUGGCUUUGCUAUCACUUAUAGAUGGACCUGCGCCGUAUUAGCUAGUUGGUAAGGUAACGGCUUACCAAGGCAACGAUACGUAGCCGACCUGAGAGGGUGAUCGGCCACACUGGAACUGAGACACGGUCCAGACUCCUACGGGAGGCAGCAGUAGGGAAUCUUCCGCAAUGGGCGAAAGCCUGACGGAGCAACGCCGCGUGAGUGAUGAAGGUCUUCUGAUCGUAAAACUCUGUUAUUAGGGAAGAACAAACGUGUAAGUAACUGUGCACGUCUUGACGGUACCUAAUCAGAAAGCCACGGCUAACUACGUG